CCCUUAGAUGUUCUGGGCCGCACGCGCGCUACACUGAUGCAUUCAACGAGUUUCUUCCUGGUCCGAGAGGAAUGGGUAACCUUUUGAAUGUGCAUCGUGAUAGGGAUAGACUAUUGCAAUUAUUGGUCUUCAACGAGGAAUUCCUAGUAGACGUAGUUCAUCAGACUGCAUCGAUUACGUCCCUGCCCUUUGUACACACCGCCCGUCGCUCCUACCGAUUGAAUGCUCAGGUGAGCCAUUCGGACUUUCAUCAUGCUGGUUUCCAGUUUUGAUGAAGGAAAGUCUUGCGAACCUUAUCAUUUAGAGGAAGGAGAAGUCGUAACA
rnacentral:rRNA from 1 species